rnacentral:rRNA from 1 species
UGCCAGCCGCCGCGGUAAUACGAGAGGCCCAAGCGUUAAUCAGAAUCACUGGGCUUAAAGGGUGCGUAGGCGGACUUGAAGGUAUGUCGUGAAAUCCCCCGGCUCAACCGGGGAACUGCGGUGUAAACCACAAGUCUUGAGGUAGGUAGAGGUUGUCGGAACGUUCGGUGGAGCGGUGAAAUGCGUUGAUAUCGAACGGAACGCCCAUGGUGAAGACAGGCAACUGGGCCUUACCUGACGCUGAGGCACGAAAGCGUGGGGAUCAAACAGGAUUAGAUA